GGGGGUGUAGCUCAGUGGUAGAGCGUGUGCUUCGCAUGUACAAGGCCCUGGGUUCAAUCCCCGGCACCUCCA
rnacentral:tRNA from 2 species